GUUGUAAUUUGUAGAGGAUGCUUUUGGUGCGGUGCCUUCCGAGUUCCCUGGAACGGGACGCCAUAGAGGGUGAGAGCCCCGUCUGGUUGGAUACCAAUCCUCUGUAAAGCUCCUUCGACGAGUCGAGUAGUUUGGGAAUGCUGCUCUAAAUGGGAGGUAUAUGUCUUCUAAAGCUAAAUACCGGCCAGAGACCGAUAGCGCACAAGUAGAGUGAUCGAAAGAUGAAAAGCACUUUGAAAAGAGAGUUAAAAAGUACGUGAAAUUGUUGAAAGGGAAGCGCUUGUGACCAGACUUGGGCUUGGUUGAUCAUCCUGGGUUCUCCCUGGUGCACUCUUCCAGUCCAGGCCAGCAUCAGUUUGCUUCGGGGGAUAAAGGCUUCGGGAAUGUGGCUCCUUCGGGAGUGUUAUAGCCCGUUGUGUAAUACCCUGAGACAGACUGAGGUUCGCGCUCUGCAAGGAUGCUGGCGUAAUGGUCAUCAGCGACCCGUCUUGAAACACGGACCAAGGAGUCGUCUUCGUAUGCGAGUGUUCGGGUGUUAAACCCCUACGCGUAAUGAAAGUGAACGCAGGUGAGAGCUUCGGCGCAUCAUCGACCGAUCCUGAUGUUCUCGGAUGGAUUUGAGUAAGAGCAUACGGGGCCGGACCCGAAAGAAGGUGAACUAUGCCUGUAUAGGGUGAAGCCAGAGGAAACUCUGGUGGAGGCUCGCAGCGGUUCUGACGUGCAAAUCGAUCGUCAAAUAUGGGCA
rnacentral:rRNA from 1 species